AUGAAACUCCUCAAUCUCCCACCGCCACGCUUCUUCUUCUCUUUCUCCACUCUCCCUCGUUUUCCAACUUCCUCUUUCUCCCUCUCAAUCCCUUCUCAUCCUCCAUUUAAUCCACUCCCUUCUUCUUCCUCCACCUCUCUCCGUCGUCUUCGCUGCCGCGCCGCCAUGCCGGAUCCUCCUCCGCCACACAACUCUGACCAGCCUCCGGAAAACGGUUCCACGCAACUUCAAAAUGUUGGUGCAACCUUAUCAAAAUUUCAAGAUAGAGUACAGAUCUUCUUUGCUGUUCUAUUCUGGAUGUCUCUAUUCUUUUGGGCCUCAGCUUGGGAUGGAAGGAAUAGACCAAACAAAGGAUCAAGAUUUAGAAAAUAA